AUUGAACGCUGGCGGCAGGCCUUACACAUGCAAGUCGAGCGCGCGGCGGACGGGUGAGUAAUGUAUGGGGACUGCCCGAUAGAGGGGGGUAACUACUGGAGACGGUAGCUCAUACCCCAUACUAUCGGAUAACCCAUAUGGGAUUAGCUAGUAGGUGAGGUAAUGGCUCACCUAGGCGACGAUCCCUAGCUGGUCUGAGAGGAUGAUCAGCCACACUGGGACUGAGACACGGCCCAGACUCCGACGGAGGCAGCAGUGGGGAAUAUUGCACAAUGGGCGCAAGCCUGAUGCAGCCAUGCCGCGUGUAUGAAGAAGGCCUUAGGGUUGUAAAGUACUUUCAGUCGGGAGGCGUUACCGGCAGAAGAAGCACCGGCUAACUCCGUGCCAGCAGCCGCGGUAAUUC
rnacentral:rRNA from 1 species